GACGAACGCUGGCGGCGUGCUUAACACAUGCAAGUCGAACGGAAAGGCCCCUUUUUGGGUACUCGAGUGGGGAACGGGUGGGUAACACGUGAGUAACCUGCCCUUGACGUCGGGGUAACUUCAGGAAACUGGGGCUAAUACCUGAUAGGAAUCCUUGCUGCAUGGUGGGGGUUGGAAAACUUCGGCGGAUUUGGAUGGACUCGCGUCGUAUUGGCUUGUUGGGGGGGGAGUGGCUUACGAAGGCUGUGACGGGUAGCCGGCCUGAGCGGGCGACCGGCGCCCUUGGGACUGAGGGAGGGAGCAGACUGGUACGGGAGGCAGCAGUGGGGAGUAUUGCAGAAUGGGGGGGCGCCUGAUGCAGCGACGUCCCGUGCGGGAUGACCGCCUUCAGGUUGUGAACGGGUUUCAGCAGGGGAGAAGCUUGUGGUGACGGUACCUGCAGAAGAAGCACCGGCUAACUACGUG
rnacentral:rRNA from 1 species